AUGUCACUCUGGAAGAUCCUGAGGGAGAGGCCACAACUAUGAUUCUAAGCUGAGAAUCAACUGAACUAGCCCCUUCGGCCCAUCAGGCCUGUGCUAGCCCAGGAGGAGUCCCUUCGGCCCAUCAGAUCUUGAGGAAUACUUCUAGCAAUGGAGCUUCCUGUGAAGUCUUCCCUAUAUAAACAAGCCUUUCUAGGAUGGAUUUCUGGAAUCUAUCCACACCGGUACCUGUCUGGUCAGUGUGUGAAGGUGUUGUUGUGAUUGUCUAUUGUGUAGCCUUCAGUGUUCAGCAGCCAGUGAUUGUUUCCUGUUUUUCUCACUCAAACAAUGGUGGGAAAGGCUUCCCCUCUGUGACUAGGCCUCGGGGUUAAUGGAACAAAGAGGAAAAAGUCCUCCCAUUGUCUGCAAUUCAGUAAUCGUACUCUUUUCCUCCGUUUUAAAAUUACUUUAAGGAUAAUAAAAAUGUAAACGUCUGGAAACUGUAUCAGUGCACAUUAUGAUCUCAAAGCCAGGGCCUUCUAACCUUUCAGGCUGUGAACAUAUCUCCAGGAAUUAAAGACAAACUCCCAGAACAGCAUAAGGAGAAAACAAUUUUAAAGUCAUUAAAAAAAAUUGCUUAUUUUUAUUCUCUUCAAUCAUUUUUGUUCAUUGGUUAAAAGAGCAUGGGACGUGGAAAUAAAAGUGCUGUUUGAAUGGCCAUGAAUCAUCCAAGUUGGUGGGAGGAACAUGGCCAAUUACAGUGGGCUAAUGGAGGCAGCAGAUCAUGUGGUAAAACUUCCAAGAACUUGUCCAAUCGAUAUUCUUUUUCUGAUGGAAUCCUCUUCUGUCCCAUGUGAUUUUCUCACUUUGGC